ACGGGAGGCAGCAGUAGGGAAUCUUCCACAAUGGACGCAAGUCUGAUGGAGCAACGCCGCGUGAGUGAAGAAGGGUUUCGGCUCGUAAAGCUCUGUUGUUAAAGAAGAACGUGGGUGAGAGUAACUGUUCACCCAGUGACGGUAUUUAACCAGAAAGCCACGGCUAACUACGUGCCAGCAGCCGCGGUAAUACGUAGGUGGCAAGCGUUAUCCGGAUUUAUUGGGCGUAAAGCGAGCGCAGGCGGUCUUUUAAGUCUAAUGUGAAAGCCUUCGGCUCAACCGAAGAAGUGCAUUGGAAACUGGGAGACUUGAGUGCAGAAGAGGACAGUGGAACUCCAUGUGUAGCGGUGAAAUGCGUAGAUAUAUGGAAGAACACCAGUGGCGAAGGCGGCUGUCUGGUCUGUAACUGACGCUGAGGCUCGAAAGCAUGGGUAGCGAACAGGAUUAGAUACCCUGGUA
rnacentral:rRNA from 2 species